rnacentral:rRNA from 1 species
AGUGAACGCUGGCGGUAGGCCUAACACAUGCCAGUCGAACGGCAGCACAGUAAGAGCUUGCUCUUACGGGUGGCGAGUGGCGGACGGGUGAGGAAUACAUCGGAAUCUACUUUUUCGUGGGGGAUAACGUAGGGAAACUUACGCUAAUACCGCAUACGACCUACGGGUGAAAGCAGGGGAUCUUCGGACCUUGCGCGAUUGAAUGAGCCGAUGUCGGAUUAGCUAGUUGGCGGGGUAAAGGCCCACCAAGGCGACGAUCCGUAGCUGGUCUGAGAGGAUGAUCAGCCACACUGGAACUGAGACACGGUCCAGACUCCUACGGGAGGCAGCAGUGGGGAAUAUUGGACAAUGGGCGCAAGCCUGAUCCAGCCAUACCGCGUGGGUGAAGAAGGCCUUCGGGUUGUAAAGCCCUUUUGUUGGGAAGGAAAAGCAGCAGGUUAAUACCCCGCUGUUCUGACGGUACCCAAAGAAUAAGCACCGGCUAACUUCGUG